CACAUCAUUUCAUAACAACAAAUAUGUUUUUUGAAAGCCUAAUUUAAGGCUUGUUUUGUCUAGAUCGCCUGAAGGCUUGGAAUCAUCAUCUGAAGAAAGAGA
rnacentral:misc_RNA from 1 species